AUUUUUCCUGGACUGAUUUUUUUUUCUUACAGACCAUCGGGAUACCCUAAUUUUUGCCUAAGCCACUUACUUUCAAGUUUCAAAUUAGCGAGCUUUCUUCUUUCUCUUUUUUUAUAGUUUUUUUGUGUAACAAAUUGUGUGACAUUUUUUCAUUUGGUUAAAAAAAGGGAUUGUGACUGUCUUACUUGUUUUGUUGGCGAGGGACAACCACUGGGUUUGUA
rnacentral:lncRNA from 1 species